UACGAAGGGUGCGAGCGUUGCCCGGAUUUAUUGGGCGUAAAGGGCGCGUAGGCGGCUCUGCACGUCCGUUGUGAAAUCGCCCGGCUCAACUGGGCGGGGUCAGCGGAUACGGCGGAGCUUGAGCAAGCUAGGGGGCAAUGGAAUUCCCGGUGUAGUGGUGGAAUGCGUAGAUAUCGAGAGGAACACCAGUGGCGAAGGCGAGUCCCUGGACAACUUCUGACGCUGAGGCACGAAAGCUAGGGGAGCAAACAGG
rnacentral:rRNA from 1 species